rnacentral:rRNA from 1 species
GCUGUGUGUUACAAGUGUCACACGGAACUGCCGGUCAUAAACCGGAGGAAGGUGGGGAUGAACGUCAAGUCAGCAUGGCCUUUAUAUCCUGGGCUACACACACGCUACAAUGGGAAGGGACAAUAGGUUGCGAAGCCGCGAGGCGGAGCCAAUCCAGCAAAACUUCCCUCAGUUCAGAUUGCAGGCUGCAACUCGCCUGCAUGAAGUUGGAGUUGCUAGUAAACGCAGGUCAGCCAUACUGCGUUGAAUACGUUCCCGGGGCUU